UGCUCAGGACGAACGCUGGCGGCGUGCNUAAUACAUGCAAGUCGAGCGANCAGAAGGGAGCUUGCUCCCGGAUGUUAGCGGCGGACGGGUGAGUAACACGUGGGUAACCUGCCUGUAAGACUGGGAUAACUCCGGGAAACCGGAGCUAAUACCGGAUAGUUCCUUGAACCGCAUGGUUCAAGGAUGAAAGACGGUUUCGGCUGUCACUUACAGAUGGACCCGCGGCGCAUUAGCUAGUUGGUGGGGUAAUGGCUCACCAAGGCGACGAUGCGUAGCCGACCUGAGAGGGUGAUCGGCCACACUGGGACUGAGACACGGCCCAGACUCCUACGGGAGGCAGCAGUAGGGAAUCUUCCGCAAUGGACGAAAGUCUGACGGAGCAACGCCGCGUGAGUGAUGAAGGUUUUCGGAUCGUAAAGCUCUGUUGUUAGGGAAGAACAAGUGCGAGAGUAACUGCUCGCACCUUGACGGUACCUAACCAGAAAGCCACGGCUAACUACGUGCCAGCAGCCGCGGUAAUACGUAGGUGGCAAGCGUUGUCCGGAAUUAUUGGGCGUAAAGGGCUCGCAGGCGGUUUCUUAAGUCUGAUGUGAAAGCCCCCGGCUCAACCGGGGAGGGUCAUUGGAAACUGGGAAACUUGAGUGCAGAAGAGGAGAGUGGAAUUCCACGUGUAGCGGUGAAAUGCGUAGAGAUGUGGAGGAACACCAGUGGCGAAGGCGACUCUCUGGUCUGUAACUGACGCUGAGGAGCGAAAGCGUGGGGAGCGAACAGGAUUAGAUACCCUGGUAGUCCACGCCGUAAACGAUGAGUGCUAAGUGUUAGGGGGUUUCCGCCCCUUAGUGCUGCAGCUAACGCAUUAAGCACUCCGCCUGGGGAGUACGGUCGCAAGACUGAAACUCAAAGGAAUUGACGGGGGCCCGCACAAGCGGUGGAGCAUGUGGUUUAAUUCGAAGCAACGCGAAGAACCUUACCAGGUCUUGACAUCCUCUGACAACCCUAGAGAUAGGGCUUUCCCUUCGGGGACAGAGUGACAGGUGGUGCAUGGUUGUCGUCAGCUCGUGUCGUGAGAUGUUGGGUUAAGUCCCGCAACGAGCGCAACCCUUGAUCUUAGUUGCCAGCAUUNANUUGGGCACUCUAAGGUGACUGCCGGUGACAAACCGGAGGAAGGUGGGGAUGACGUCAAAUCAUCAUGCCCCUUAUGACCUGGGCUACACACGUGCUACAAUGGACAGAACAAAGGGCUGCAAGA
rnacentral:rRNA from 1 species